rnacentral:misc_RNA from 1 species
AAGACUAUAGACCUGCGGAGUACCUGCGGAAGGAUCAUUAAUGAGAAACUGCCCCUCGCGGGUAGAUCUCCCACCCUUUGUAAACUUACCUUUGUUGCUUUGGCAGGCCCGUCUCCGGACCGCCGGCUUCGGCUGGCCAGUGCCUGCCAGAGGAUUCUAAAACUCUGUCUGUCAGUGUUGUCUGAGUCUAUAUACAAUCGUUAAAACUUUUAGCAACGGAUCUCUAGAUCGGAAGAGCAC